UCCAUUUACUCCGGUUAAAGACGGCAUCAUAAGAUUUUGACAAAACUAGCACGAAUUCGAUUCAUGAUCAGGGUUACAUCAUUUUAGGCGUCUCUACCUUCCCCAUUUCUCUCAACACCGAAGAAUCUAUGGAAGAAGAUCUCAAAUUAAAUAAACAGAUCUGAGUUUUUGUCGAGGAGAAAACGAGUUGGAACCGUAAAUUUUGGUUUCAUGGCGAUUCUAUUUGAGCUGUCUACUAGUAAUCACUGGAUAAAUGGCAAUACAUGCUAAUUAGGAUCAUACUUGGCCUUUCAGUGUUAUGAUCUGUGCUCGUUUUAUUGCUAUGGUCACAAAGCCAAUAUUGGUACAUGACCCUGCACGGGUCAGUGGAGUUCAUGGGGUGUACAUAUUGGUGAACCAGUGAUGCCUGUUUUGUAGGUGUGUACGUAUUGGUGUACCUUCGAAAUCCCAUGAAAAAAUAGGGGUAUGCAUAAAUAACUAGGUCGUAAUCAGGAGUCUGUCUCCUUAAUGUGGAAAGUGUAAACUGGUGCACCAGUCUAUUUCCUAUGAGAAAUAUCAUGUUUAUGGGUAAGAAUGCUUGAUUUCGUAAAUAUUUCGUAGGUGUGUACAUACUUGUGCACCAACGUAUUUUCCAUGAAAAAGUAAGUACAAACGUGAGUACGAAUGAGCGGUUUCAUGCUUAUUUUAUAGGUGUGUACAAAGUAGUACACAUGUGAAAAUAAUGGCUCCACAAGCUUAUGUUUGGUAUCAUUAUAUAGUCUUAUCAUGCUUUUGAUUAGAUGAUCUAAUCUGUUUCCACUUUUGCACGACAACGAACGAGCCAAAGAUUCGAUGAGCUUCCACGUCUAACCUGACUUAAAUGUUUUACUGUACUGACAAAGAGAGGUUAACUGCUAAACCAUUCUAUGCAAAUCCAGACAUUAUUCAGCUAGAGCUUGGCGUGGAGUGGCAGUUUGGCUAUUGAAUGUUGGAUUUUCUGUGUUUUUGUUAAUGUGUACAUAGUUGUACACUAGUGUGAAUUAAAAAUUAUUAAAAGUGGAAAUUAUAUAGUCAUAAGCGUACUCUUUUUGUAGACCUCGAAAAGAGCUUUCCGAAUAUAUAAAGUUUGUGAAUUUUGGACGAACGGUUUGAAAGAUAAAUUGUUUUUUAGUUAUUUAUACAUUAUUUAAAA